CUUCAAAAAGUUUGUCCACCCAUUUACUUAAGAUUCCUUUGACCCACAGUCUUCAUAUUUGGUAUGGAUGUUGAUCAUGACUAUAAGGUGACCCCUAUUGAUUUUGAAGUCACUGGGUCAAAGGUCAAGGUCACAGGACCUUGACAAAAAAAAAAAGUUUUCUUCUCAAUUGCUAAAGAAUGUCCUGUCCACAAUGUAUUGACAUUUUCACAUUUGAAGCAUGUAGAAUACAUAACUUAGCAAUGCACUGGCUUAGUAACCUCAGAUUUGGCAGGGAGGUUGUCCUUGAGCUCUAAAUGGCCACUGUUGAUUCUGACAAAGUGGUAUGCGGGGGUAUUCACGCCAUGAUAGUGGCAGUUCUAGUUUAAUCUGGACAGAACCAUUUUUAAUUAUUUGUCAUAUUUAAUGUUGCAUUUUUGCAAAAAUAAUCUCAUGAAUAGAAUUGUUUUCAAAAUAGCAAGCUUCUUUCCAUUUUAGGGAUUAUCAUAGUUGAACAGUGCUAUUUAUGGGAUGGACAAUGAAGAUGAUGAAAGUUAAAAGUUAAAAAAAAAUAUUUAAAAUAAAUUUGAUGUGUUUGUAAGGGGGGAUAAUUUCAUUAUUAUGACAAUGUUAAUAUGCACUAGUAUGAAAAAGUUUUUGUUUGAUGUUUGAUGACCCACCUUUAGAUUAGCAAGUAAACUUUUGAGAAAUCAAAUUUAUUUAACAAUUAUGUAUGAAAAGUUACCCUUUAUCCAUGCAAUGUAUUUGCAGCUUGGUUAUGUGCAAAAAUAUGGUGAAUUUAUUAACUUUAUCUGCACCCCCAUUUUCUGAAAAAAGAAAAUGCUAAUUUUGCCUAUGAUUUCAAAGUUUCGUAAAUUGUUUAUGUUGAUUAAAGUGCCUUAUAUCCUUUGAAUAACUUUUAUUCACUAGAAAAGGAAAUUUACUAUUAAUUUUAAAACAAUGUUGAAAUUUUCACAAGUAAGAUUUAAAUGUUAAAGCAACAAGUCAGAUAGCAACUGACCAAUCAUUUCUUUAAUUGUUAAAUUUUGACUUUAGUAAAGAACUAACUUCUUAUUUAUUAUAUUAGGUAGGAUUUUGUUGGGUUUUUUUCUUGGUAGAGCUAGUUUUUUUUUCAAAGCUGAGCUUCAUUUUUCUAGGCAGAGUUAUUAUUUUUUCUUGUCGAAGCUUCAUAUGAUUUUCCAGACAGAGCGUAUUUAAGAAUUUUCCAGAUGUUAAAGUGUCUUUUAACAUGUUACAAUGUCAUUCAAUUAUGUUCAGUGAUUUCUUGCAUAUCAGACAGGAUUAUCUACCGUUUACACCAGUGCUAGAAAAAGCUGUCUUACAACCCCAAUGAAAGACAAGUUGCGUGCUUUAAAUGACAUUGCUGCGCACCUUUUAUAAAUAAAGAGCUUUCUAAGGAUCUCGUCAUUUUACUGUAAUAAAUGUGAAGUUGUAAGUUCAUACGCUAUUGUAAAAUGUAAGUGGGUAAUGAGAAUAUCAGUUUUCGUAAUUUCCAUUCUGAAGAUAAUUGAUAUGUAAUAAUGCAAUAAAAGAAUCAUGUACCAGCUGUUGUCACAGACGGGAAUAUCUAGCUCUAGGGUAAUUGUUUAGCAGAAACUUUGCAGAGCCUAACUUUGCAGAGCCUCGUUACCGCAGUAAACAGUUACCUUCCAGUCUGUAAGGGCAGCCAAUUUUAGAUUCUUAUAGUAUGAAUAUCUCUAAUCUAGAUCACUCUUGUUCAUAAUUCAGUUGUGUUUUUUGCUGGCAUUUAAAUUUACUGAAAAUGUCAAGUAUAUCAAAAUUGAAGGGAACAUAUUGUUUGUUAGAUGAAGUUAAGACAUUAGUGAGAAUAUCAGUUUUCCUAAUUUCAGUUCUGAAAAUAAUUGAUAUAUAAUAUACAAGAAAAAUAAUCAAACACCGGCUGUCAGUACAGACAGGAAUAUCUAGCUCUCGAGUACCUGUUAAGCAAAGCAGAUGCUUACAGAAAACAUGAUCACUGAUUCUUACAAUAUUUAUUUAUUAACAUAUAUAAAUAGGUGUGAACAGAUGAAUAAGGUUCUUAAAGUGCAUUUCAGUGGGCAAAAAGGAAAGAUUUUAGCAUUAAAUCAUUCAAACACCUUGUCCGGUAUAUACCGGAAUAUGGUAUUUAGUGUGGUGCUGGAAGUUCAAUGAUAAAUAUUAAAGAGAAAGAGGUUUUGGUCAGAGAGUCUUAGAGAUUUUACAUCAUUCCAUAUCUGCUGUAAAUGUUACUCAUAUUAGUUUGUUGUGUUUUUAUUAUGAUAUAUAUUGUUGCUUUUUAUGUGCCAUAGAGAUAUAUAUAUAUACAUGUAUAUUAUUGACACAAUGAUUGUUGUUCAAAAUUUCACAUGACCGGUUUAUAUUAAAAAAGGGGAACAAUUUCAUUACAUUUAUAUUAUAAUCUUCAUAUUUUGGUAGAUCGAUAUACUUGUACCUGUUUAGUGAAGGCAGUUGGAGAUAGGAUGCUGUAAUCGUGUAGAUGAAAUAUGAUACAAGAAUUCUUUCCCUGUUAUUUGCUUUUGAAUACUAAGGAAUUAUAUAUUUAAAAAAAGUAUGAAGCAUUCCCAGAAUUUUCAAAAGCCUAAUCUUGCUGUUCUAAAAUGCAAAAAUGUCAAAAGACAAAGAUACAAAAAAAGUUGAGCUUUGCUGUAUCUUUGUAUUUUUUGCCAUUUUUCAAGGGGGAAAAAUAUGACCUGGCCUAAGUUAGCCACCAUGCACCAUAUACAUAUAAUUUUAUGCUUAAAACAUCAUAAGUGUUGUCAUGUUAGUGUCCUGACAUUGAUAUACCAUGAAAUAGAGUUUUUAUAAAUUGUUAUUUAUUUUUAAA